GCACCAUUAAAACAGAGGAAAUUUAAAAGAAAAAAAAAAUAUAUGGGAAAGGUAAGUAUGGAAUGCUGAGUGGCAACUUCAAGUGAAUAGAAAUUAAUUUCCUCUAGAUAGUUUUAUCAUUUUAUUUCCUGACAGCAAAAAUGUAGAUAAGAAGUCCAAGAACCCUUUCAGUUUUAUUAUUCUAUGAUUAUUAUUCUUAUUUUACAGGAAGAGGAACAAAGAAAGCAAAAAAAAAGGCUAACUCGGGGCUUUGAAAAUAAAAAGCUGGAGACUGCUGCUGGAGAGGCAAUCAUCAAAGGAGAGAAAGGAGGGACCAGACCAAGAAGGAAUUCAGCUGCUGUUCAUGAUAGUGCUUCUCUUCAUAAUGAGAUUCUGUAGUCCUUUUGCAAAAGGAUGGGACCUGAAAAUCUUGGUUGAAAAUUGCAUUGAUUCACCUAUAGACACCUUAUUACUGGUGACAGAGGAAGUCAUAUCUAUAAGCAACCCUGAACAUAGAGAAGAAUACAAGAGCUGGGGACUUAUUACUGGCAAGCAGGAACAAUGUAGGAGAGCAAAAUUCAAAAGUAUUAAUGUCUGACUAUCAUACAAGUUGUCAUAGAGUCAAUAAAGAAUCUCAGCCUUUGGAGCUGCUCA
rnacentral:lncRNA from 1 species